GGGCGCGUAGCUCAGCGGUAGAGCAACUGACUUUUAAUCAGUAGGCCCUGGGUUCGACCCCCAGCGCGCUCACCA
rnacentral:tRNA from 1 species